UAACGUUGGGGUUUAGUUGUUAAGCCGUGCUGUGGCUCUGCCGCAGUCGGUUUGCCUAAGCCUUGGGCUGCCCAUCGUUUUGGGUGGCAGACAAAGCCACAUGGUAUCGUCAGCAUUUCCAAGGCGCUUCCUUCGUUCUCGAGCACUUUCGAGUUCGAAGUCAGGUGUCUUCAAGAAUUCUUUUUUGGCUGUUGGCUCUGGACCACCCCUCCAUCACCCGAAAAUGUCAUCAGAAGUAUUCCACUUCCUCCAGGGUCUUCCAGCUGGACUAAACUUUACAGGAGGACAUACUAACAGGAGAAAAAAAAAAUCCAAAGGUUUUAUUACCUGCGUCCAGAGGUCCGCUCCUGAUCUGAGAAAGUGGACCCUGAGAACACCCGUUUCUGAUCUGUUGAGCUGGUGUUCCCCUGUUGUUGUGGAGAUGCCGUCUAUACAGUAAUGUAGAAGAAGUUAAGUCAUCAGCCCAGAGACGUCCCUUGAACUCCACACUCAGAGACCCAGCUACCCACGUGACUUCUCUAUUUGGAAGUCCAUGAAUAUCCAUUUCCAAAUCCGACACCACCACUGCAAGACCAGCCUCUCUCGUCAACAUCUUGAAUCUGGAAAACGGCGAGUCCAACUUUUCAGCUGGGGUUGUUUUCGACUCUCCAGUCCAUAGUAGGUCCUGUCAGCUGUACCUGGAAAACACAGCAAGAAGGCUAGCAUUUCCCUUUCCGGCUCUUUCCCAUCACUGCUGCUCUGGCCAAGCGGCCGUCACUCCAUCGUUAUUCCUGCAGCCCCAUCUGCUUCCUCUCUCCUAUAUUUCACACAGCAGCCAGGGAUUAUAAUAAAGAGUAAAUCAGA